GACGAACGCUGGCGGCGUGCCUAAUACAUGCAAGUUGAGCGAUGAAGAUUGGUGCUUGCACCAAUUUGAAGAGCAGCGAACGGGUGAGUAACGCGUGGGGAAUCUGCCUUUGAGCGGGGGACAACAUUUGGAAACGAAUGCUAAUACCGCAUAAUAACUUUAAACAUAAGUUUUAAGUUUGAAAGAUGCAAUUGCAUCACUCAAAGAUGAUCCCGCGUUGUAUUAGCUAGUUGGUGAGGUAAAGGCUCACCAAGGCGAUGAUACAUAGCCGACCUGAGAGGGUGAUCGGCCACAUUGGGACUGAGACACGGCCCAAAAUCCUACGGGAGGCAGCAGUAGGGAAUCUUCGGCAAUGGACGAAAGUCUGAACGAGCAACGCCGCGUGAGUGAAGAAGGGUUUCGGAUCGUAAAAAUCUGUUGGUAGAGAAGAACGUUGGUGAGAGUGGAAAGCUCAUCAAGUGACGGUAACUACCCAGAAAGGGACGGCUAACUACGUG
rnacentral:rRNA from 1 species